rnacentral:rRNA from 1 species
GACAGAGGGUGCAAACGUUGUUCGGAAUUACUGGGCGUAAAGGGCGCGUAGGCGGCCUGUUAAGUCGAACGUGAAAUCCCUGGGCUCAACCCAGGAACUGCGUCCGAUACUGGCAGGCUUGAAUCCGGGGAGAGGGAUGCGGAAUUCCAGGUGUAGCGGUGAAAUGCGUAGAUAUCAGGAGGAACACCGAUGGCGAAGGCGGGUCUCUGGGCCGAUACUGACGCUGAGGAGCGAAAGCGUGGGGAGCGAACAGG